GGCCUUGCGCUCUUUGAGCGGCCGAUGUCAGAUUAGCUAGUUGGUGAGGUAAAGGCUUACCAAGGCGACGAUCUGUAGCGGGUCUGAGAGGAUGAUCCGCCACACUGGAACUGAGACACGGUCCAGACUCCUACGGGAGGCAGCAGUGGGGAAUUUUGGACAAUGGGGGCAACCCUGAUCCAGCCAUGCCGCGUGAGUGAAGAAGGCCUUCGGGUUGUAAAGCUCUUUCGGCCGGGAAGAAAUCGCAUGGGCCAAUACCCUGUGUGGAUGACGGUACCGGAAUAAGAAGCACCGGCUAACUACGUGCCAGCAGCCGCGGUAAUACGUAGGGUGCGAGCGUUAAUCGGAAUUACUGGGCGUAAAGCGUGCGCAGGCGGUUUUGUAAGACAGGCGUGAAAUCCCCGGGCUUAACCUGGGAACUGCGUUUGUGACUGCAAGGCUAGAGUACGGCAGAGGGGGGUGGAAUUCCACGUGUAGCAAAAUGCGUAGAGAUGUGGAGGAACACCAAUGGCGAAGGCAGCCCCCUGGGUCGAUACUGACGCUCAUGCACGAAAGCGUGGGUAGCAAACAGGAUUAGAUACCCUGGUAGUCCACGCCCUAAACUAUGUCAACUAGGUGUUGGGUGGGUAAAACCAUUUAGUACCGUAGCUAACGCGUGAAGUUGACCGCCUGGGGAGUACGGCCGCAAGGUUAAAACUCAAAGGAAUUGACGGGGACCCGCACAAGCGGUGGAUGAUGUGGAUUAAUUCGAUGCAACGCGAAAAACCUUACCUACCCUUGACAUGCCAGGAACUUGCCAGAGAUGGCUUGGUGCCCGAAAGGGAGCCUGGACACAGGUGCUGCAUGGCUGUCGUCAGCUCGUGUCGUGAGAUGUUGGGUUAAGUCCCGCAACGAGCGCAACCCUUGUCGUUAAUUGCCAUCAUUUGGUUGGGCACUUUAACGAGACUGCCGGUGACAAACCGGAGGAAGGUGGGGAUGACGUCAAGUCCUCAUGGCCCUUAUGGGUAGGGCUUCACACGUCAUACAAUGGUCGGUACAAAGGGUUGCCAAGCCGCGAGGCGGAGCCAAUCCCAGAAAGCCGAUCGUAGUCCGGAUUGCAGGCUGCAACUCGCCUGCAUGAAGUCGGAAUCGCUAGUAAUCGUGGAUCAGCAUGUCACGGUGAAUACGUUCCCGGGUCUUGUACACACCGCCCGUCACACCAUGGGAGCGGGUUCCGCCAGAAGUAGGUAGCCUAACCGCAAGGGGGGCGCUUACCACGGCGGGGUUCGUGACUGGGGUGAAUUCGUAACAAGGUA
rnacentral:rRNA from 1 species